UAACUACUCCCUCCGUUCGGAAUUACUUGUCUCGAAAAUGGAUGUAUCUAAAACUAAAAUACAUCUAGAUACAUCCAUUUCUGCGACAAGUAAUUUCGAACGGAGGGAGUAUUGC
rnacentral:pre_miRNA from 1 species